CGUUUUCGCCGUUUUGAUCUGCCGACCUAUGAUGGCAGUUGCACUGAGGCUUGGGUUGUCGAGGGCUGGGCCAGCGCGAUGGAGAAACUGUUUGAAGAUCUGUUCAUCCCUGAGCGGGAGCAGGUACAUCGGGGAGUUCACUGCUUAGCAGGUGAUGCACAUGCAUGGUGGAGGAGGGUGAGGCGAAACUAUGGACUGGUGGCUUUAUAGAUGAGAUGGGAUGAGUUCUGUGGCAUGCUGUUUGGGAUGUAUUUU
rnacentral:lncRNA from 1 species